GUGUUCGUUGAGCCGAGAGAAGGUUAGCAACACCCUUGACAAGGACGGGAAUUGGCUUCGGCCAUGAGGCUAAGGCUUCCUGCCCUCCGGGGCGGAUCUAAACCAAACCAAAUUUUCUU
rnacentral:ncRNA from 1 species